rnacentral:rRNA from 1 species
AUGAACGCUGGCGGCGUGCCUCAUACAUGCAAGUCGAGCGAACAGACGAGGAGCUUGCUCCUCUGACGUUAGCGGCGGACGGGUGAGUAACACGUGGGUAUCCUACCUAUAAGACUGGGAUAACUUCGGGAAACCGGAGCUAAUACCGGAUAAUAUAUUGAACCGCAUGGUUCAAUAGUGAAAGACGGUUUUGCUGUCACUUAUAGAUGGAUCCGCGCCGCAUUAGCUAGUUGGUAAGGUAACGGCUUACCAAGGCAACGAUGCGUAGCCGACCUGAGAGGGUGAUCGGCCACACUGGAACUGAGACACGGUCCAGACUCCUACGGGAGGCAGCAGUAGGGAAUCUUCCGCAAUGGGCGAAAGCCUGACGGAGCAACGCCGCGUGAGUGAUGAAGGUCUUCGGAUCGUAAAACUCUGUUAUUAGGGAAGAACAAAUGUGUAAGUAACUAUGCACGUCUUGACGGUACCUAAUCAGAAAGCCACGGCUAACUACGUG